ACGAUGUUCCGCUGCAAUAAAGGAUUUGUAUGAGCAUCUG
rfam:Bacillus sp. VT-16-70 Bacillus_obstructivus_contig196, whole genome shotgun sequence.